AUUGAACGCUGGCGGCAGGCCUAACACAUGCAAGUCGAGCGGUAGCAGGCCUUCGGGUGCUGACGAGCGGCGGACGGGUGAGGAAUGCAUAGGAAUCUGCCUAUUAGUGGGGGAUAACACGGGGAAACUCGUGCUAAUACCGCAUACGUCCUACGGGAGAAAGCGGGGGCUCUUCGGACCUCGUGCUAAUAGAUGAGCCUAUGCCGGAUUAGCUAGUUGGUAGGGUAAAGGCCUACCAAGGCGACGAUCCGUAGCUGGUCUGAGAGGAUGAUCGGCCACACGGGGACUGAGACACGGCCCAGACUCCUACGGGAGGCAGCAGUGGGGAAUAUUGGACAAUGGGCGCAAGCCUGAUCCAGCCAUGCCGCGUGUGUGAAGAAGGCCUUCGGGUUGUAAAGCACUUUAAGUGGGGAGAAAACGCUUUGAGUUAAUAGUUCAAAGCCUGAUUUAACCCGGAGAGGAAGCAGUGGCUAACUCUGUGCCAGCAGCCGCCGUAAAAC
rnacentral:rRNA from 1 species